GCAGUGAUGAUCAUGUGGGUUUGAUCAGUAAUGAGCUGAAACUACACAAACCAUUCCUCUAAGAAGUGCUGAGCUC